rnacentral:tRNA from 1 species
GUUUUUGUAGUUGAAGUACAGCGGUAGUUUUUCGAGCUAUAGGUCUAGGUUAAACUCCUGGCAAAAACA